rnacentral:sRNA from 1 species
CCCUCCUCCCUGGUCCGCGAGCCUUGGGUACCCCCAGCAUUUUUUCCGCCAGAGCUGUUUCCGUUCCUCUGCCCGCCAUGCCCUUCCUAGAGCUGGACACGAAUUUGCCCGCCAACCGAGUGCCCGCGGGGCUGGAGAAACGACUCUGCGCCGCCGCUGCCUCCAUCCUGGGCAAACCUGCGGACCGCGUGAACGUGACGGUACGGCCGGGCCUGGCCAUGGCGCUGAGCGGGUCCACUGAGCCCUGCGCGCAGCUGUCCGUCUCCUCCAUCGGCGUAGUGGGCACCGCCGAGGACAACCGCAGCCACAGCGCCCACUUGUUUGAGUUUCUCACCAAGGAGCUAGCCCUGGGCCAGGACCGGUGCGUAGGGGCAGUAGGGGAUCCAUGUGGGACUGCCGCAGACUGGAGCCAGUGAUCCUGUCUCAGGGGGAAAAACCCAUUUCUUGCCCUGCCCAGUAAGGACACAUCAGGGUCUGGAGCUCUGGGGCCCCCUGACCCCUUAGGUUCCUGCUGUUAGGACCAUCUUCAAAGUGGGAGCAGGAUUGAAUGAAUUUCUCGCUCUGCUCCUCAGUGUGUAAGUCUGUGAACCGGGAAGGCUCUCUUUUAACACCCCCGGGGCAGUGCAAGGGUCAUGUGGGAUUGUCUGUGUGCGGUACCUGCCUUGGCACCUCACAGGGUAGGUACACGUGGCUGAAGUGUGAUUUUCUAGCACUUAUCCAGGCUGGUCAGAAGGAAUUCUGGGUAUGUUCUGAAGUUAUGUAUUUUGGACCUAUGGCCCAGCGACGUUCCAGGUGAGGUUCACGGGAGACUCACAGAGUAGUGAAAGAGCAUUGGCCUGGAUGUCUAGACAUCUGCUUUCUGGGUCCUGCAUAGCUGGGGGACCCCAGACAAACUUGGAAAUGAACCAUCUCCAGUUGGCAACCUCCUCUUUUGUGAAAACAGGGGAAAAGACCUCCCUCCCCCACAAGAAGCCUCUACAACCCAAACCUGGCGUUCUGUGACCGAGUUAAAGUUUCCUCUUGGGUAAAAGAUAUUCUUGAGCCUCAU